AGUGAACGCUGGCGGUAGGCCUAACACAUGCAAGUCGAACGGCAGCACAGUAAGAGCUUGCUCUUACGGGUGGCGAGUGGCGGACGGGUGAGGAAUACAUCGGAAUCUACUUUUUCGUGGGGGAUCACGUAGGGAAACUUACGCUAAUACCGCAUACGACCUACGGGUGAAAGCAGGGGAUCUUCGGACCUUGCGCGAUUGAAUGAGCCGAUGUCGGAUUAGCUAGUUGGCGGGGUAAAGGCCCACCAAGGCGACGAUCCGUAGCUGGUCUGAGAGGAUGAUCAGCCACACUGGAACUGAGACACGGUCCAGACGCCUACGGGAGGCAGCAGUGGGGAAUAUUGGACAAUGGGCGCAAGCCUGAUCCAGCCAUACCGCGUGGGUGAAGAAGGCCUUCGGGUUGUAAAGACCUUUUGUUGGGAAAGAAAAGCAGCAGGUUAAGACCCCGCUGUUCUGACGGUACCCAAAGAAUAAGCACCGGCUAACUUCGUG
rnacentral:rRNA from 1 species